GCCCCCGUAGCUCAGAAAUGGAUAGAGCAAAGGAUUCCUAAUCCUUGUGUCCCGAGUUCGAGUCUCGGCGGGGGCG
rnacentral:tRNA from 1 species